ensembl:miRNA gga-mir-6581 gga-mir-6581
GACCCCAUCCCGCUGCAGCGGGAGAGUAGUGAGCUCAGAGGAGGACUGGGGGAAAGCAGCCCUGUCUCCCUGGUGGGCUUUUUGGGAAGUUGAUGCUGAGAA